GAUUUAGAGGAAGAUUUGUGUACGGAGAGUAGGGAUGAGAAUAUCCAUCCCCCAAAAAAUCGAAGGCGUCUUUAUAUAAGAAGCGAUUCGGAAAGUGAAUGUGAUUCGGUGGAAAAUUUUGUCACUCAAAAUGUGGCUCUUAUGUCGUCAAGUAGGCCACAAAAAUGGAGAGAACCAAGAGGAUUCCAACCAUCAGUGAUUGCAUUUACGGAGCCAACAGGUAUCAAGAAACCGUAUGAUAUUGAACUACGAAAUGCAGACCCAGGAG
rnacentral:misc_RNA from 1 species